rnacentral:rRNA from 1 species
ACUGGGCGUAAAGAGCUCGUAGGUGGUUUGUCGCGUUGUUCGUGAAAUCUCACGGCUUAACUGUGAGCGUGCGGGCGAUACGGGCAGACUAGAGUACUGCAGGGGAGACUGGAAUUCCUGGUGUAGCGGUGGAAUGCGCAGAUAUCAGGAGGAACACCGGUGGCGAAGGCGGGUCUCUGGGCAGUAACUGACGCUGAGGAGCGAAAGCGUGGGGAGCGAACAGGAUUAGAUACCCUGGUAGUCCACGCCGUAAACGGUGGGUACUAGGUGUGGGUUUCCUUCCUUGGGAUCCGUGCCGUAGCUAACGCAUUAAGUACCCCGCCUGGGGAGUACGGCCGCAAGGCUAAAACUCAAAGGAAUUGACGGGGGCCCGCGCAAGCGGCGGAGCAUGUGGAUUAAUUCGAUGCAACGCGAAGAACCUUACCUGGGUUUGACAUGCACAGGACGCGUCUAGAGAUAGGCGUUCCCUUGUGGCCUGUGUGCAGGUGGUGCAUGGCUGUCGUCAGCUCGUGUCGUGAGAUGUUGGGUUAAGUCCCGCAACGAGCGCAACCCUUGUCUCAUGUUGCCAGCGGGUAAUGCCGGGGACUCGUGAGAGACUGCCGGGGUCAACUCGGAGGAAGGUGGGGAUGACGUCAAGUCAUCAUGCCCCUUAUGUCCAGGGCUUCACACAUGCUACAAUGGCCGGUACAAAGGGCUGCGAUGCCGUAAGGUUAAGCGAAUCCUUUUAAAGCCGGUCUCAGUUCGGAUUGGGGUCUGCAACUCGACCCCAUGAAGUCGGAGUCGCUAGUAAUCGC